GUCCUUUAGAAAAAAAUUAAAGGUCUAAUCUGCCCAAUGAUAUUUGAAUGGCCGCGGUAAUUUGACCGUGCAAAGGUAGCAUAAUUAUUAGUCUUUUAAUUGAAGGCUUGAAUGAAGGAUUGGAUGAAAAAUAAACUUUAUUAAUAAGAAUUAUUUAAUUUAUUGUUUAAGUAAAAAUUCUUAAAUAUAUAAGUGGGACGAGAAGACCCUAUAGAGUUUUAUAUUUAUUUUUAUUGUGAAGUUUUAGAAUUAAUAUUUUCAUAAUAUAAAUAAUUUUUUUAUUGGGGUGAUAUUAAAAAUUUUUAAACUUUUAAUCAAAAUUUCAUUAAUAUAUGAGCUUUUGAUCCAAAAUAAUUUUUGAUUAUAAGAUUAAAUUACCUUAGGGAUAACAGCGUUAUUAAUUUGAAGAGUUCAAAUCGAUAAAUUAGUUUGCGACCUCGAUGUUGGAUUAAGAAUAAAUUUUGAAGAAGUAUUUAAAAUUGUAGGUCUGUUCGACCUUUAAAAUCUUACGUGAUCUGAG
rnacentral:rRNA from 1 species